rnacentral:tRNA from 1 species
AACCCAGCUGGCCGCUGGAUAGAGUGUUGGAUUCCGAUUCCAAAAGGUCACAGGUUCGAAUCCUGUCGGGUGCGCCA